GAGUCGGCGCGCGGCACAGCCCCGUGGGUCGGGGGCCGGGAGCCAGCGGCGCGCACCGGCGGCUGGAAGCCAGGCGGGCCCGGGCAGGCCGACCCCAGGCGCGGGGCGCGCGCCCCACUACGAGCCGCCCUGCGCGGUUUCUGCAAAUGCGUGAAUGAGCCGGAUGCCAGCCUCUGUCCCCUGGAGCCCAGCGUGAGGAAGAGGCAUGCCCCAUCAGCCUUCAGCUUGAGCCCGGCGGCCCCCGCCCCCGCCCCCUGCCACCCUGCACUGCCCCGGCUCCCCCGCGGCCCCCACGCUGCAGUGCGGCCGGGCCCCCUCCCCGCAGGGGCCGCCCCCGCCGCCCACCCCUAGCGCCCGUGGUGGUGGUGGUGGUGGUGGUGGUG
rnacentral:lncRNA from 10 species